rnacentral:rRNA from 1 species
UCAAGCGAAUAAGUGCAUGUGGUGGAUGCCUUGGCGAUCACAGGCGAUGAAGGACGUAGUAGCUUGCGAAAAGCUGCGGGGAGCUGGCAAACGAGCUUUGAUCCGCAGAUGUCCGAAUGGGGAAACCCGGCCCGUAUGGGUCAUCCCUUGCUGAAUACAUAGGCAAGGGAGGCGAACGCAGUGAACUGAAACAUCUAAGUAGCUGCAGGAAAAGAAAUCAACCGAGAUUCCCAGAGUAGUGGCGAGCGAAAUGGGAACAGCCUUGUACUCUUUAGCAGUAUUGUUAGCGGAACGGAAUGGAAAGUCCGGCCAUAGUGGGUGAUAGCCCCGUACGCGAAAACAGUAUUGUGGAACUAGGUGUACGACAAGUAGGGCGGGACACGUGAAAUCCUGUCUGAAGAUGGGGGGACCAUCCUCCAAGGCUAAAUACUCGUGAUCGACCGAUAGUGAACCAGUACCGUGAGGGAAAGGCGAAAAGAACCCCGGGAGGGGAGUGAAAUAGAUCCUGAAACCGCAUGCAUACAAACAGUCGGAGCCUGGAAACGGGUGACGGCGUACCUUUUGUAUAAUGGGUCAGCGACUUACAUUCAGUGGCAAGCUUAACCGAUUAGGGAAGGCGUAGCGAAAGCGAGUCCGAAUAGGGCGUUCAGUCGCUGGGUGUAGACCCGAAACCAAGUGAUCUAUCCAUGGCCAGGUUGAAGGUGCGGUAACACGUACUGGAGGACCGAACCCACUAACGUUGAAAAGUUAGGGGAUGAGCUGUGGAUAGGGGUGAAAGGCUAAACAAACUUGGAAAUAGCUGGUUCUCUCCGAAAACUAUUUAGGUAGUGCCUCGUGUCUCACCUUCGGGGGUAGAGCACUGUCAUGGUUGGGGGGUCUAUUGCUGAUUACCCCGCCAUAGCAAACUCCGAAUACCGAAGAGUGCAAUCACGGGAGACAGACAUCGGGUGCUAACGUCCGGUGUCAAGAGGGAAACAACCCAGACCGCCAGCUAAGGUCCCUAAGAUUGGCUAAGUGGGAAACGAAGUGGGAAGGCUAAAACAGUCAGGAGGUUGGCUUAGAAGCAGCCACCCUUUAAAGAAAGCGUAAUAGCUCACUGAUCGAGUCGUCCUGCGCGGAAGAUGUAACGGGGCUAAGCCAGUCACCGAAGCUGCGGAUGCACGUAAGUGCAUGGUAGGAGAGCGUUCUGUAAGCCUGUGAAGGUGUCUUGUAAAGGAUGCUGGAGGUAUCAGAAGUGCGAAUGCUGACAUGAGUAGCGAUAAAGGGGGUGAAAGGCCCCCUCGCCGUAAGCCCAAGGUUUCCUACGCAACGUUCAUCGGCGUAGGGUGAGUCGGCCCCUAAGGCGAGGCAGAGAUGCGUAGCUGAUGGGAAGCAGGUUAAUAUUCCUGCACCGUCGUAUGAUGCGAUGGGGGGACGGAUCGCGGAAGGUUGUCCGGGUGUUGGAAGUCCCGGUCCCUACAUUGGAGAUGGCACUUAGGCAAAUCCGGGUGCGUGAUUCAAGGGUGUGGGGCGAGCGACGUUAGGUCGCGAAGCAAUUGGAAGUGGUUCCAAGAAAAGCCUCUAAGCUUCAGUCAUACGAGACCGUACCGCAAACCGACACAGGUGGGCGAGAUGAGUAUUCUAAGGCGCUUGAGAGAACUCGGGAGAAGGAACUCGGCAAAUUGGUACCGUAACUUCGGGAUAAGGUACGCCCUUGUAGUUUGACUGGCUCGCGCCAGAAGGAUGAAGGGGUUGCAAUAAAAUGGUGGCUGCGACUGUUUAAUAAAAACACAGCACUCUGCAAACACGAAAGUGGACGUAUAGGGUGUGACGCCUGCCCGGUGCCGGAAGAUUAAAUGAUGGGGUGCAAGCUCUUGAUUGAAGUCCCGGUAAACGGCGGCCGUAACUAUAACGGUCCUAAGGUAGCGAAAUUCCUUGUCGGGUAAGUUCCGACCUGCACGAAUGGCGUAACGAUGGCCACACUGUCUCCUCCCGAGACUCAGCGAAGUUGAAGUGUUUGUGAUGAUGCAAUCUCCCCGCGGCUAGACGGAAAGACCCCAUGAACCUUUACUGUAGCUUUGCAUUGGACUUUGAACCGAUCUGUGUAGGAUAGGUGGGAGGCUUUGAAACCGGGACGCUAGUUUCGGUGGAGCCGACCUUGAAAUACCACCCUGGUUUGUUUGAGGUUCUAACCUUGGCCCGUGAAUCCGGGUCGGGGACAGUGCAUGGUAGGCAGUUUGACUGGGGCGGUCUCCUCCCAAAGUGUAACGGAGGAGUUCGAAGGUACGCUUGGUACGGUCGGACAUCGUACCUAAAGUGCAAUGGCAAAAGCGUGCUUAACUGCGAGACCGACAAGUCGAGCAGGUGCGAAAGCAGGACAUAGUGAUCCGGUGGUUCUGUAUGGAAGGGCCAUCGCUCAACGGAUAAAAGGUACUCUGGGGAUAACAGGCUGAUACCGCCCAAGAGUUCAUAUCGACGGCGGUGUUUGGCACCUCGAUGUCGGCUCAUCUCAUCCUGGGGCUGUAGCCGGUCCCAAGGGUAUGGCUGUUCGCCAUUUAAAGAGGUACGUGAGCUGGGUUUAAAACGUCGUGAGACAGUUUGGUCCCUAUCUGCCGUGGGCGUUGGAAUCUUGACGGGGGCUGCUCCUAGUACGAGAGGACCGGAGUGGACGUACCGCUGGUGUACCUGUUGUCUCGCCAGAGGCAUCGCAGGGUAGCUAUGUACGGAAGAGAUAACCGCUGAAAGCAUCUAAGCGGGAAACUCGCCUGAAGAUGAGGAUUCCCUGGAGACUUGAUCUCCCUGAAGGGUCGUUCGAGACCAGGACGUUGAUAGGCUGGGUGUGGAAGCGCAGUAAUGCGUUCAGCUAACCAGUACUAAUUGCCCGUGCGGCUUGAUCC